AUUGAACGCUGGCGGCAGGCCUAACACAUGCAAGUCGAGCGGAUGAAGGGAGCUUGCUCCUGGAUUCAGCGGCGGACGGGUGAGUAAUGCCUAGGAAUCUGCCUGGUAGUGGGGGAUAACGUCCGGAAACGGGCGCUAAUACCGCAUACGUCCUUAGGGAGAAAGUGGGGGAUCUUCGGACCUCACGCUAUCAGAUGAUCCUAGGUCGGAUUAGCUAUUUGGUGGGGUAAAGGCCUACCAAGGCGACGAUCCGUAACUGGUCUGAGAGGAUGAUCAGUCACACUGGAACUGAGACACGGUCCAGACUCCUACGGGAGGCAGCAGUGGGGAAUAUUGGACAAUGGGCGAAAGCCUGAUCCAGCCAUGCCGCGUGUGUGAAGAAGGUCUUCGGAUUGUAAAGCACUUUAAGUUGGGAGGAAGGGAAGUAAGUUAAUACCUUGCUGUUUUGACGUUACCAAAAGAAUAAGCACCGGCUAACUUCGUG
rnacentral:rRNA from 1 species